rnacentral:rRNA from 1 species
ACCUUGUUACGACUUCUCCUUCCUCUAAGUGUUAAGGUUCACAAAACUUCCCAUUUCGGGCACGAACGCGCCACAAAACGGUCCGAAUAAUUCACCGGAACACUCAAUCGGUAGGAGCGACGGGCGGUGUGUACAAAGGGCAGGGACGUAAUCGGCGCAAGCUGCUGACUUGCGCCUACUAGGCAUUCC